rnacentral:rRNA from 1 species
UACGUAGGGGGCGAGCGUUGUCCGGAGUUACUGGGCGUAAAGCGCGUGUAGGCUGCUUCGCAAGUCGGGUGUGAAAGCCCUGGGCUCAACCUAGGAAGUGCACUCGAAACUGCGAAGCUUGAGUCCUGGAGAGGAAGGCGGAAUUCUCGGUGUAGAGGUGAAAUUCGUAGAUAUCGAGAGGAACACCGGUGGCGAAGGCGGCCUUCUGGACAGUGACUGACGCUGAGACGCGAAAGCGUGGGGAGCAAACAGG